CAGGGCUAUAAUGCCUGCAUAACGCAUUCCAUACAAAUCCCCGUCCUGCUCUUACCUACUUCGGUGAAACCUACCGCCAUUAACUGGCUAAAAUGGUUGGUCUGUAUUCUCAACUACUUGUUCAGCCCUUUGUUCAGCUCUGAAACUAGAAGAUUAUUCUUGGGUACCUAUGACACUGAUGAGGAAACAAAAAUGUGUCAGUCGGUCCUGAUCUUCAACAGCCUGGUCACAGGAAUAGUUGCUGCCUCUCUGCACUGAAUCUUUCAGCAGGAAAGAACUCGGGACACUGGGAGAUGGGGCUGCAGCUUUACUGAAGAUGAUUGCAGGAAGGAAUGUGGAGGGAAAGAAAGAAAAUAAGCCCCAUAUGACAGAUACCAGUCCCAUUGUACUACUGAAGAGGCCUACAGCGAACUGCUAGAGAAGAACUUGUAUGAAAUGCAAUGAAGUUGGUAACAUAAUGGGAGAUGCCCUGAAGAAUGGCUUUAAGUAAGACACCCGAAUAUAUCUAGGCCAAUUGAAGAAUGAGGAGGAAUACCAAGCAAACCUUCCUGCUGGUGAGAUCUACUAGACUAGGCUCCAUCAUUACAGAAUAGACAGAACAGAAAUGUGAUCAGUCAUACUCAAACAGAAAGAUAUAGACUAUUCCUACUCUUGGGAAUUCAACAUAGCAAGAGCUAUCUGCUUUGAGGGAGAUAGAAACAAAACAGAAGCUAGAGGAGACUAGCUACAGAUUUAUUUUUGCAAAAACAGCAGAUGCAUGGAAGGGUUGACCUACACAGUAUAUUAAAUAUAGCACUUGGCCUUCAUCACUACUUAUUGUUUGAUAUGUCUUCUCUCCACAGCUCAGAAGCAUGAAUCCUCAUCAAUUAAACAAUGCUGGAUGUAGUUUUAAAACCCUGCUCCAGAGCCACAUCCAGAAACUCAAGACAACUGGCUAUAUCUGAGCCAGUGGAUUUUGACUUGAAAACAAAGAAAAACCCUCCUAUGAACUGAAAGGUCUAUUACUAUCAGUUUGUCCUCAUUGAAAAAGAACCAUUAUCUGCUUCCUUAGGGUCAAAGGCAAAUAAUUUAUGAAUACAAGAGAAUAAGGAAAAAGGAAUCCUCCAACCAGAGGACUAUACAUUUUGAGACAGCCUGUUGUUGUCAGAUCGUGGCAUGGUGUUCCCAUUGUCACUGGUCUGAUUAAACAGGGAAAUUGGUUAAAAAAAAAGAAAUAAAUAAAUAAAGCUCAG
rnacentral:lncRNA from 1 species